rnacentral:rRNA from 1 species
CCUACGGGAGGCAGCAGUGAGGAAUAUUGGUCAAUGGGCGAGAGCCUGAACCAGCCAAGUUGCGUGAGGGAAGACGGUCCUAUGGAUUGUAAACCUCUUUUGCCGGGGAGCAAAACGCGGUACGUGUACCGCAUCGAGAGUACCCGGAGAAAAAGCAUCGGCUAACUCCGUGCCAGCAGCCGCGGUAAUACGGAGGAUGCGAGCGUUAUCCGGAUUUAUUGGGUUUAAAGGGUGCGCAGGCGGCGAGUUAAGUCAGCGGUAAAAUUUCGGGGCUCAACCCCGACAAGCCGUUGAAACUGGCGUGCUAGAGUGGGCGAGAAGUAGGCGGAAUGCGUGGUGUAGCGGUGAAAUGCAUAGAUAUCACGCAGAUCUCCGAUUGCGAAGGCAGCAUACCGGCGCCCAACUGACGCUCAGGCACGAAAGCGUGGGUAUCGAACAGGAUUAGAUACCCUUGUAGUC